GAAUGUUCAAUUUGAAUCUUGUAUCGCCAGUUUUUAAACUGUCCCCUCUGUGGCCCUUUCAUUCUACGUGACAUUGGCGAAGUGCAUUGUGCUGGUGUGGCACUACUAAAAGCCAUUAAACAAAAUAAUAAGAAGAAGAAGAA